GAUGAACGCUGGCGGCGUGCUUAACACAUGCAAGUCGAACGGUGAAGGCGGAGCUUGCUCUGCUGGAUCAGUGGCGAACGGGUGAGUAACACGUGAGCAAUCUGCCCCUGACUCUGGGAUAAGCGCUGGAAACGGCGUCUAAUACUGGAUACGAGCUGCGAAGGCAUCUUCAGCAGCUGGAAAGAAUUUCGGUCAGGGAUGAGCUCGCGGCCUAACAGCUUGUUGGUGAGGUAAUGGCUCACCAAGGCGUCGACGGGUAGCCGGCCUGAGAGGGUGACCGGCCACACUGGGACUGAGACACGGCCCAGACUCCUACGGGAGGCAGCAGUGGGGAAUAUUGCACAAUGGGCGAAAGCCUGAUGCAGCAACGCCGCGUGAGGGACGACGGCCUUCGGGUUGUAAACCUCUUUUAACAGGGAAGAAGCGAAAGUGACGGUACCUGCAGAAAAAGCGCCGGCUAACUACGUG
rnacentral:rRNA from 1 species